rnacentral:rRNA from 1 species
GAUAACAGGCUGAUGACUCCGAAGAGCUCUUAUCGACGGAGUCAUUUGGCACCUCGAUGU